rnacentral:rRNA from 1 species
AGUCGGACGGGAUUGGAGAGCUUGCUUUCCUGAGAGUGGCGCACGGGUGCGUAACACGUAUGUAACCUACCUUCGUCAGGGGGAUAGCCUCUCGAAAGAGAGAUUAAGACCGCAUAACAUUGCAAUGUGGCAUCACAAAGCAAUCAAAUAUUUAUAGGACGAAGAUGGGCAUGCGGAACAUUAGCUAGUUGGUAAGGUAACGGCUUACCAAGGCUACGAUGUUUAGGGGAUCUGAGAGGAUGACCCCCCACACUGGUACUGAGACACGGACCAGACUCCUACGGGAGGCAGCAGUAAGGAAUAUUGGUCAAUGGGCGGAAGCCUGAACCAGCCAUGCCGCGUGCAGGAAGACGGCCCUACGGGUUGUAAACUGCUUUUGUACCGGAAUAAACCUUGAUUCGUGAAUCAAGCUGAAUGUACGGUAAGAAUAAGGAUCGGCUAACUCCGUGCCAGCAGCCGCGGUAAUACGGAGGAUCCAAGCGUUAUCCGGAUUUAUUGGG